rnacentral:rRNA from 1 species
CGAGAAAGCCCGCAAGGGUGAGUAAAGCGGCGCACGGGUGCGUAACACGUGGGUAAUCUGCCCUAGAGUCCGGAAUAACUCGCCGAAAGGCGUGCUAAUGCCGGAUGAGACCACGGGAGCCUCGGCUCCUGCGGGAAAAGGUGGCCUCUGUAUACAAGCUAUCGCUCUAGGAUGAGCCCGCGGCCCAUCAGCUCGUUGGCGGGGUAAUGGCCCACCAAGGCUACGACGGGUAACUGGUCUGAGAGGACGAUCAGCCACACUGGAACUGAGACACGGUCCAGACUCCUACGGGAGGCAGCAGUGGGGAAUCUUGCGCAAUGGGCGAAAGCCUGACGCAGCAACGCCGCGUGUGUGAUGAAGGUCUUCGGAUCGUAAAGCACUGUCGCGAGGGACG